UACGUAGGGGGCAAGCGUUGUCCGGAUUCAUUGGGCGUAAAGAGCUCGUAGGCGGUUCGUCGCGUCGGCUGUGAAAACCUGAGGCUCAACCUCAGGCCUGCAGUCGAUACGGGCGGACUUGAGUACUGCAGGGGAGACUGGAAUUCCUGGUGUAGCGGUGAAAUGCGCAGAUAUCAGGAGGAACACCGGUGGCGAAGGCGGGUCUCUGGGCAGUAACUGACGCUGAGGAGCGAAAGCGUGGGGAGCGAACAGG
rnacentral:rRNA from 1 species